rnacentral:lncRNA from 1 species
AUAGCUUCUGUCAUGUCUAGGAGGAGUUGCUAUUUAACCCUCCCCAUGUUCUGGAGAUUCAUAAACAGGAAGCUCUGAGAUUUAGGUGUGAAUGGUUGACUUCACAUUUGAAGAAAAUCUAUGGUCUUAUUUCUGAACUAAAGGUGACCCUUCCUUUUCUGCAAGCCAGAGGUGAGUUUUAAGAUAAACAUUAUUUUGCUAGUGUAUUUACCAUUCUGGACUAUGUAUUCUAGACUAUUACAAACAUAGUUUCUUAAGAAUUUUAUAGGUUAUAAUUAUGCAUCAACAUGACAAUCUAUAAAUGUCCAUGGAAGAACUUAAACACAUAAAAAUCUCUUAACCACUUAGACAUCCUAUGGUCUCCAUUUAAGGGAAAUUUAAUACAAGGUCUCAUAAUCUAGGUACACCUCAAAUUUCUCUUGUGGAUGAAGAUUACGUCAAUCUCAUCCUUCUGCUUCAAUAUGCUAUGUUCUAGUAUUUCAUAAAUUUCUGUUAUGCUCUACUUCAUCCUAGACAUAUGUCAGCUAUUUAUGCCCAGCAUGUAUGAAGGUGUUUGAUUAAGUAUAAACCAGUUGCACUGGUGCUGCAUUGGUGCAUCUUGGAAAUGGAGGCAAAGAGAUUAAUGGUACAGUUUCAAGUGAGUUCUAUAGAACGGGGUGUGAUAAAUGAAACACUGUCCCAACAUCAGAAUUUUGAGGAUUACUUGAAAAAUACACAUUUUAUAAAUUUUAGUCCUUAAUUAUAAUCUAAUUUUGGACAGAUUGUGUAUUAAUGUAUUUGAAACUGGUUUCCUAUAUGCUAUUAAUAUACAAUAAGGUAUUGGGGGUGAAAGGGAAUUAGAAAAGUUAUAUAAUAUUCAAUGAAAUACUUGUCUAAUUUUACAGACUUGCUUCUCUUAUCUACUGAUUUAAACAGGUUCAUAGAGUUAAAGAUUUGAAAUUGCUUCUUAGUUCUUUUAUUACCUUUCAGAGAAACUGUUCAUUUUUCUUUGUACAUGUCAUUUCAGUAUGUGAAUUUUAUAAAAUCUAUUAAAGCAUGCUUUUUGUAGAACAGUAUCCAAUUCUGAAAUAAAUUAUAUCUGUUCAUAUUAUUUUAGACUAACAUGAUGUCCUGCUGUCAAUUUAGAUUAUGACUGAAGAAAGAAAUUUUUAAUGAAUGUCGUGAAGUUUUAUGGCCUUAGCUACCAUGACUACCAUCCUGUACUAUUAUAAUAAAGCUGUAAAUCC